UCAGCCCCUCUCUCCUCUUUCUAUCGCUGCUCUCAGGUCCAAGCCGAGCAAAGUGGCUUUGGUGUCCUCUGUGUGAUCUGCCACGUCUUAAAAGAGCACCUGCGAAAGCCCAACCAGCUGGGCUAGCUGGAGUCACCGUCGAUAUGGAUGAAGCCCAGCACCCGUUCGAAGAAAUGCCUCCAAGAUUCAUACAGGUACCACAUUGCCAAUGGAUGAUAAUUUCAGAGCUUGCUAAGGAAGCUACAUGCAGAUCACUCACUGAUAAUCAAGAUUGUGCUGGGUUGCUAUUCUCAAACCUACCAUGCAAAUGAUAUAUGAUCGGAAUAUUGUUGGGAUCAUUUGUGCUCCUGGUUGCCUGUCAAGAUUUGAAGGUGCAACACUUCCUUCAAAGCAUACACAACAGCAAUAAUACUGCCAUGAUCCACAUAUUCUGUGCGCAUUCAGUGUACAGAAUUUACGCUUGCCUGCCUAUUGUUAUGCCAUCUUACUUCCAGUCUUUGUGCCUUGAUGCCUCCAUAUAUAGCACUUGUUUUUUUACUGCAGUUCCCUUCCCGUUUUCUUCCCCAUUAGAUAUUAUCUUGAGAUUUUUGGUUUGGUUGCCUGCUCCACCAGUUAACAUUGUGUCUAUAACUUACAUAUCAUCAUAUAAUGUAUUUGAAAGAUAUAAACCAUAGCUGCGGCCUGCAUGCCUUUUAAUUUUA